rnacentral:rRNA from 1 species
AUUGAACGCUGGCGGCAGGCCUAACGCAUGCAAGUCGAGCGGUAACACAGGGAGCUUGCUCCCGGGUGACGAGCGGCGGACGGGUGAGUAAUGUCUGGGAAACUGCCUGAUGGAGGGGGAUAACUACUGGAAACGGUAGCUAAUACCGCAUAACGUCGCAAGACCAAAGAGGGGGACCUUCGGGCCUCUUGCCAUCAGAUGUGCCCAGAUGGGAUUAGCUAGUAGGUGGGGUAAUGGCUCACCUAGGCGACGAUCCCUAGCUGGUCUGAGAGGAUGACCAGCCGCACUGGAUCUGAGACACGGCCCAGACUCCUACGGGAGGCCGCAGUGGGGAAUAUUGCACAAUGGGCGCAAGCCUGAUGCAGCCAUGCCGCGUGUAUGAAGAAGGCCUUCGGGUUGUAAAGUACUUUCAGCGGGGAGGAAGGCGAUAAGGUUAAUAACCUUGUCGAUUGACGUUACCCGCAGAAGAAGCACCGGCUAACUCCGUGCCAGCCGCCGCGGUAAAAC